GGUCACAACACAAAUUGCAUGUCAUGCAAUAUUUAGAUGAAUACGCAAUCUGCCAAAGAGACUGUAUCAAUGCCAAUAGUGGUUACAAAAUCUAGCAGAUUAAUAGAUUUUAUUAGCCAAUAGGAAAGUCAUUGUCCCCUUGCCAUAUAUAGUUCCAUGGCUUUAUAAUCAAUGCUGUGUAUCUGGCUAGAGGUACAGGCUGGGGUUCGGAUGGCAAAG